GACGAACGCUGGCGGCGUGCUUAACACAUGCAAGUCGAACGGAAAGGCCCUGCUUUUGUGGGGUGCUCGAGUGGCGAACGGGUGAGUAACACGUGAGUAACCUGCCCUUGACUUUGGGAUAACUUCAGGCAACUGGGGCUAAUACCUGAUAGGAGCUCCUGCUGCAUGGUGGGGUUUGGAAAGUUUCGGCGGUUGGGGAUGGACUCGCGGCUUAUCAGCUUGUUGGUGGGGUAGUGGCUUACCAAGGCUUUGACGGGUAGCCUGCCUGAGAGGGUGACCGGCCACAUUGGGACUGAGGUACGGCCCAGACUCCUACGGGAGGCAGCAGUGGGGAAUAUUGCACAAUGGGCGGAAGCCUGAGGCAGCAACGCCGCGUGCGGGAUGACGGCCUUCGGGUUGUAAACCGCUUUCGCCUGUGACGAAGCGUGAGUGACGGUAAUGGGUAAAGAAGCACCGGCUAACUACGUG
rnacentral:rRNA from 1 species